rnacentral:snoRNA from 1 species
UGGCAAUGAUUAAAUCUAUCCCCUCUUCUGAUGCUUCAUGCAAUUGAUUGAAUUUCUUGAUAUGAGCCG